ACACAGUAAGUCUGAGCUGGCAGGAUCUGAGGCACACUGCUGCACCCCAGCUACAAAGGAGGGUGAAAAAACACUAAGCAUCCAGCAUUUUUAGCCACUGUAUAUGAGGGUUAGGUCCUGUUUUCUAUCGAGAUAAAUAAGGUGGAACAUUUUGCAAACACAGCAAGGAAGUGGUGUUAAUGCUGGACAGCCAAGGAGAAAGACCUCCACACAAGUCCCUUGUGGAGCUGGAUGUCUGCUGCGUGCAUCAGGCCAAUCCUACCUCAAACUUGACUCUCACAUGGACAGUGGAGCAUGGCUUGGUGGCUUCUUGGUCAAGCCCAUCUGACCAAGGUCCUCCUUUCACACCUCCUUACCAUCUGGAAGUCAAUCAGGUGCACUGUUGGAAUAGUGCUGCAGGCACACCAGGAGUGAGCUGCCCUUCAAAGGAAACCCAGAUAAUGUCUUUAUAGGAAAGCUAAGGAAAUAAAAGUAAUUAUGCAACACUCUGCUAGAGUGACACAGCCCUUGGGAAAACAGAACACAUGCAUCUUUUGCCUGAUGUGGAUAUUCAGGAAUCUGCUGCCUCUGUCUACCAAAUCCUGGCAUGAGAACUUGCCUCCUGCUACCUGUCAGCUGCAUUCAGUGCUCAUUACAACUUCCCCAAGAUGAGCCAUGUGUCCCCUGUCUCAUUCUGACAUGUGGCAUUAGCAGUGAGACUGACUUUGAGAGGCAGGAGGACUAAUUUAGAAUCUGCAUUCCAUCUCCAUUAGUCUAACCAGGAACAAAUGGUUUUCAGCACUCACCUAAUCAAGAUGCCCUAUAAAUCUGACCCUGACCAACUUCACCACUGCAAAUAUAAUAGCUGGGCAGCUCAUCUCUGCUUCACUCUGAGGCAGAAGGGGACACUGGGAAGCUGAAACCUGUAUCAUCUAAAGGCUCCUUGCUCGCACGCAUGGUGGUAGAGGUACUCUAUCAGCUGGAUCCUCAACUGGGACUGUGGCUUGAAGAUGUACAUGUAGCCUUGCAAGUGGCUGGGUUCCAAGGAUAUCAAGUGCUUCUGGAUCCUUCGUCUGGAUCAAUUCUCAGAAAAAGUUUUGUUCCUUUCUUCUCUCUGGGAGACAGAAGACACAGAAGGAUCAAGAGAACAUGCAUUCCCUAUAGGGGCACUUGCAUUUUAGCAGUGCAAAAAGAAGAGCUUCAAAGAACAGGAUUCAGGCACUGGCAGUCAGAAAGGAAGGUUGGGAGGAAUGAGGGAAUGAGUUCUUACCCACCAUUCCUUGAAAUCUGGCCAACUGAGUCAAUGAAGACAUGUGGACAGCAUGGACAAGCCAGUGGAAAUGGAAUUGAAUUUACAAAAUAACGUGCCUUCUCAUACUCAGGUUCCAAGUAAACGUUGUAGGUGUUUCGGAAAACGUUAAAUAAUCUACAUGCUGGGGAGAUGAUAGUUUGGGAAGCAAAUCUGGAAAAUACCCACCAAUAGUAGAUUGGAUACACAGAUUGCAGUAUAUUCAUAAAAGAAAAUAUGGUACAGCAAACAGGACAGGCAAGCCAAAGAAUGUACAAGAAACUCAACUGCACAGAUAGCACAUUGAGCCAAAGAACCCAGGUACAAAAGCAUAAAGCAUGCAUGAUUCUGUUUAUAUAAAAGGCAAAGAUAAAAUAAAUAAAAGCAAAAGUUGGAGAA